AUACUCGUUAGGUGAGGCUCCUACACGAACAUAGGCCACUGCCCGGAAAUAUCGAAAGAUGCCGACGGGUAGAACAGGAAUUGCCGGCUUAAGGCUCUUCUUAAUGUGGCUAAGAGCACAUAAGUGUCUCUUUACGUUGUGUAGUGCCAAAACUCGACAAGG
rnacentral:sRNA from 1 species